GUGAUUCAUACAUAGUGAGUUUGGUUUGUGAUAUACCAUUUUCGUUGGUUUAUUUACUUAUGAUAGUUUGAUUAAAUCGAGUUUUGGUCUGGGUGAAAACCAUUUUAUUGGGGUAUAUUGAUAUCGAGUUAGAGCCGCGAACAAAUGAGGAUGCCACCAUUUUCUUGUAUAUUCGAUGUUGCUAGGUACUUGCCGUUUUUACAUCAG
rnacentral:lncRNA from 1 species